GGACUAAAAUAACAUAUGUAAACCCCACACAGUAUAGUGCUUCAAGAGGUGGUGAAUAUUAAUAUGGUAUUUGUUAGCAGCAGAGCUCCAUAAUCUUUUGUGCAUGAAAUACAAAGAAAACAAGUAGCACUGGUAACAACACAUUUAUUUCCGUACCCUGUUGUGUGACCGGGAGGUGGUUUUCACUUUCCAAUGAUUGAAUUAGGUUAUAACAAUUAAAAUUCCAGAAGGUAAACUAAUAAUUUAUCGUUGCUCAUGAGCAUAAGUAAACAGACAAGGUACCACAUAAAGGAAUUUUCAACACUUCUAAACUUUUGGUAUAGCUUUGAAUAUGGAAGAGUAGACUUUGGUAAUGGACCUGACAAAUUACCAAUAUGCUUCUAAAUCCCAUGGUUCUCUUGACACCCAACAGGAAAAAUCUGGAUUUAAUUUCUGAAUUUCAGAAAUUUGACAAAGAUUCUUAGGAAGCUGGAAAAGGCCAACAUUACUUAAGCCUAUCAUAUUUAUCACGCAUCUAAAUGUAUUGCUAUUAAAAAUAAAAUCAUGGUAGGCAGCAGUCAACCAAUUGCUAGUUUCAUUUUGUAGAUUACUUCAGCAUUUCUUGAAAAUAACUCACUUCAGAUGGCAGGUUAUAGAAGUUUCUUAUUUUUAGGUAGUUUUAACUUAUUAACCUUUUGUGGACUAAAGGAAUCCAGAUAGAUCCCAAGUCAAAUAAUUGGCUGGUGUAUCAAAUUGGAUUUUAUAUUAGAAACAGCCAUGUCCAAGAGACUGCAUCAUACAAGACAUUUCUUUUCAAAAUGCCUUUUAUUCCUGGCUUCAAAUCUUAACUUACAGCAUAUGCUAUUUUUAGAGGGUUUGUUAACUGUUAACAAAUGGGUAGUCAUUGCCAGAGCAGGAUAUAAGAAUGUGCUGAUCACCAAGUAUGACAUUUUACUUUACAUUAAAUUAAAAUUAUAUAUUGUUGGAAAUAGACAAGAUAGGGAGUUCCUAGAUCCUAGAAAAUAUUAUGGCUAAGGAAAUAGAGAACUCAAAAAAGAACUCCACCUCCAAGAAACUAAUUCAGUAUAGCAAAAUAGAAUUAAGUGCCCUGUCUUAGGAAAAAGUUUAUUAAUAAUAAGGAAGAACCGGGACAUCAUACAUCGUUUCUUUGGAGAUUAAAGUGCAGGCUAUGCAAUGGCAUAUAAAAUAAUGCAUAAAAUAGUGCAAUCUUAAGGUGCCAUUAUUUUUAUUACACAUAGCCUAUGUUCAUAUGUCCAUUUCCUCUUAAAAAUCCCACUGUAGUGACACCUUUUAGCUUAUUUAUUUAGGCAUUACUUAUACUCUGUUUUACCCACCUUUGGGGCUACAUAGAAUAUUUUAACAUUUUAACAAGUAGAAUAAUAGCGCAUACAUCUUGAAACUACUAAGUAGAGAUUAAGGCAAGCCCCGGUAAAGUUCAGUACUCCAAAAAACACGUUUUACAAAACAAAGUUGCUUCCAAAACCAGUGGCUUUAGACCUGAUGGCACCCCAAUUGUUUUCAAAAUAGUAUGAUUACUCUCAAUACAUUUGUGUUUGCCCCAUUAUUUCCAGGCUCUGUACAUCAAGAGAAGCUUGAAAAACAAUAGGUCCUAUAACCUCAUGUUCUGAAGUAAUUCAUAUUUAUCAAAGCCAAGCCAAGUCCAUGUGGGAGAUAAGCAGAGGACCCUGUUGGGGUGAGGGGGGCAGUCCUCUUCAUUUCUUAUAUAUGCCUUUUCACAUUUUUAUCUGUGUCUGUAGUGUUGUACCAUAAUCAAUUUAUACGUGGGAAUGACCCAUUAAAACAGAGAAGUCUCCUCUGAAAGAGAGUCAAGGAAGAUGACGAGAAUACUUGAUGAAAUGUUGCUUUAGG